rnacentral:rRNA from 1 species
UACGGGGGGGGCAAGCGUUGUUCGGAUUUAUUGGGCGUAAAGGGCGCGUAGGCGGCGGGGUAAGUCGGGUGUGAAAUCUCAGGGCUCAACCCUGAAACUGCACUUGAUACUGCUCUGCUUGAGGACUGGAGAGGAGACUGGAAUUCACGGUGUAGCAGUGAAAUGCGUAGAUAUCGUGAGGAAGACCAGUGGCGAAGGCGGGUCUCUGGACAGUUCCUGACGCUGAGGCGCGAAGGCCAGGGGAGCAAACGGG